rnacentral:lncRNA from 1 species
CCUCCCUUCUCUCUGCUGGCACGCUUUGAUAUGCCCACCGGGUUUCUCCAUUGGCCACUUCGUGUGGCUUCUCGCCCCUUCCAAGAUUUCCAUCCAAUCACCUCUUUCCUGUCUCCCGUUGGGCUUUGGGGAAUGUACCGUAUGGACCCUGCGGGGAGACGGAGAGGACGAAGGGUGUGGCGACAGUUUAUUUCCUUGCCUUUUGCACAUAUCCCAUGAGAUUCUGGCAAGGCUGAGAGUGCAUUACCUCGACGGACGCCGGGGCUGCGGGACAGGCGGUACCGGCCGGCCAAGGGGACGCCGGCACUGAGGGACACCGCAGCAUGAAGCAGAGGUAAGGACGGAGCUUC